AUGGCCGCGGGAUUGUGCCAGCCGCCGCGGUAAUUCCAGCUCCAAUAGCAUAUAUUAAAGUUGUUGCGGUUAAAACGCCCGUAGUUGGAUCAGCGGAUUUGGAGAACGGUCUGCCGAUGGGCUGUACUGUUCUCCUGUCCUAUUUUCUCUAGUUCGCUCUAGGUGCUCUUCACUGAGUGUCUAGAGUGGCUGGAACUUUUACUUUGAAAAAAUUAGAGUGCUCAAAGCAGGCGUCUCAGCCUGAAUAGUGGUGCAUGGAAUAAUGGAAUAGGACCUCAGUUCUAUUUUGUUGGUUUUCGGAGCAUGAGGUAAUGAUUAAGAGGGACAGACGGGGGCAUUCGUAUUGCGACGUUAGAGGUGAGAUUCUUGGAUCGUCGCAAGACGAACUACUGCGAAAGCAUUUGCCAAGAAUGUUUUCAUUAAUCAAGGACGAUAGUUAGAGGUUCGAAGGCGAUCAGAUACCGCCCUAGUUCUAACCGUAAACGAUGUCAACCAGCGAUCCGCAGGAGUUAUUCAUGACUCUGCGGGCAGCUUCCGGGAAACCAAAGUUUUUGGAUUCCGGGGGGAGUAUGGUUGCAAAGCUGAAACUCAAAGGAAUUGACGG
rnacentral:rRNA from 1 species